rnacentral:lncRNA from 1 species
CCGUCUCAAACGUUUGAUUCCUCUUACAAGUUCACCAUGGCUUAUGCAAUAGAGACAGAGAAGAUAAUGCUCGAAGAGGUAAAAACACCUCCAUCGGUGAACAUGAAUGUAUUAACUGGCUCAAUUCAAGAAAACCAAACUCGGUCAUAUAUGUCUGCUUUGGAAGCCUGUCCCUCUUUUCAGCUGCUCAGCUACUAGAGAUAGCUACCGGUCUUGAAAUUCUGAAAAGCAAUUUAUUUGGGUGGUGAGAAAAGAGAAAAAGGAGGAGAAGGAUCUGGAGAAGUGGUUGCCAGAAGGAUUUGAGAAGAGGAUGGAGGAGAGGGGUUUAAUAAUAAGAAGGUGGGCACCCCAAGUGCUAAUACAAGAUCAUGAAGCUGUUGGGAGGUUUUGUGACUCAUUGUCGGUGGAACUCAUUACUGGAGGGAGUGACUGCUGGAGUGCCCAUGAUCACAUGGCCACUAUUUGCUGAACAGUUUUACAAUGAAAAGCUAAUAACAGAUAUCUUAAAGAUAUGAGUUGCGUUGGGUGCUCAGAAAUGGACUAGCAGGACAGAUGAAUAUGAAGUUUCUGUAGAGAGGAGAGAAAUAGAGAAGGCAGUGAGACAAUUGAUGGUCAGUGAAGAAGCCGAUGAAAUGAGAAGACGAGCAAGGGCACUGAGAAAUGCAGCAAAGAAGGCCGUUGAAGAAGGUGGAUCAUCUUGUGGUAAUUUAGAUUCCUUAAUCGAAGAAUUGAGGUUGAAUCGUCUGAGGAGAGGAAUCACAAUUAAGUAAUUUACUACUGAAAACCUUGCAAAAGAUCAUAUCUGCUGCAUAUUCAUUUUUACUACAAUAAAGUUGACAAGUCUGUUCUAAAGAACUACAAGUCUAAAAACACAGCAUAAACAACCCAUAAUAGCACAUUUCACAUUUUCAAUAGUUCUUCAUUAUCAGUUAAAUAAAACAAGCAGCUAAAAUUUUGUCACGAGAACAAGCAGCUAAAUAUGGCACAAUUAUAAUAACAUGGUACAAGUAGGACAGUCUACAAUUAAUAAGUUAAUGCUAUACUGUCCUAACUAUAGUCUUACUAUAUCUAGUCCUACACUCAAUCCAAUAUACAUCAUGAAAAGGCUUUUAAAUCCCACACUGAGGACCAAGACCAACAAAUAGAAAAUUUAAAGUUAAUAGAUACUCCCACAAGAUCUACAAUAAAUAUAUACAAAAAACUGAACAUAUACACAGGGAGCAAUAGCCUGUCUUGAAAAGGCCACAAAUUCAGUUACUAAAAGGAUGACCAUUGACCAACAACAAUAUCCAUCAUGAAAUCCCAUUUAGUAACAUAUAUAGCGUACAGAUCAAAUAUUCAUUAAAUAAGAGAACCAGAAAUGCAAGUUUUUUUCCACUAAACUAGUCACCCGAACUUUGUAACAUUUCAAACAUGUGAACAGUAACCUGUAACAUUAUUUAUUCAUUUUUAAUUUUAUAAGUAUUAAUCUAAAACUUUUUUAGCUAUGAAUAUGUAAACCUGAUGCAAGAGCAGAUUUAAGCUACUAACAAUUGAUGACGAUUCCAUUAAUCUACUCAUAGGCUCAAACCAGGAUGCAUAAAACAUCGGGCAUGAUUUUAAUUCUUAAAAAAAUUGGAACCAAUAGCAAGAGAUCAUAAAUAUUUAAUAAUCGAAAUGAUAGGUAUUCUUUAAGCAGUCAUAAUAAAAUAUAUGUAUAAUAAAAAAUAAAAACUAGGUUUGCGAUAGGAUAUUCAAGUAAUGAGAAAUUCACAUAAUUAUCAGACACAGUUUUCAGUUUAUUGAGAUCAAAAUCCCUUUGCUAAUGACUGAGUGAGACAUUUAGUUGACAUAAUUUGAAAUUACGCACUUUAACAAUCUUAUGCAUUUAUAUAUACUAAGGGGUCUAAAUAAUAGACCAUGUAAUACAGUAAUACCAAGAAGAACCACAAAUACCCAACUAAUCAAAUUCGAUUUUGAAAGAUCAAAAUCUCAAAUACACAUUAUUAAGACAUUCUAGUGUUUCAAGUUGAUAAUAAUUUUGAGUUGGAAAAGUAUUGCUCCAGUAAACGUCAAGAUAUUUCUUGCACCCAAAGUCUCUGAGAGAAAGAAGAAAGCUGUAGCACCAGAAAUAUAAUAAUAAUUGAAUGUGGACUCACCUUUGAAGAAUAUAUUUGUGGUAGAUAUACAAAUAUUACUUGCAUGCCAAGUCUGAGAAAGACAGGGAAAUCAACUUCAUAUUGUCCUUCGAGAAAUUAAUUAAUAAAAAGAAAGCCUUGUGCCCAGCAACAGAUCACCAAUUAUGGGGCAUCCAGUGUGCUUAGUUUUAGAAGAACAAUCAAUUUUUUUUACUAGAAAGAGAAAGAGUGAAAGACUAUUAAUGUACACCGAAGCCACAUAUAUAUGAAAACUGAAGGGUAGUGGAAAGCAUACUAACUCAAUACUUUCUUCAGCCCGUAGCUAUCACUGCAUUAUCAAGCUCAUUCCUCCCAGAAAGCUACCAUGGGUUCUAAACUUGAUAAGCUUCACAUCUACUUCUUUCUGCAUAUGGCUCCUGGUCACAUGAUCCCCCUUGUUGACAUGGCAAGGCAAUUUGCUGGCCAUGGUCUGAAGGCCACCAUAGUUAUGACAGCCCUCAUUCCUCAAUGCAUCUCUCUUCUCCAAAACAAUCAAAAGAGAUAGACAACUCAGCCUACAUAUCAGUAUCCGCCAAGUUAGAUUCCCUUCAUGUGGAACUGGACUGCCAGUGGGCUGUGAGAAUCUGGCAUCCACUACUACCCCAGAAAUGUCUAUGAAUUUUUUUAAGGCUCUUGACAUGCUUCAAAAUCCGCUUGAACAGAUCAUAGAAGAAGACCAACCUGAUUGCCUUGUGGCAGAUUUUUUUUAUCCAUGGGCUACUGAAAUUGAAUGCAAAUUUGGAAUCCCAAGGCUAGUCUUCCAUGGAAUUGGUGUCUUUCCUGUGUUUAUCACAGCUUAAACCGCAGUGAACCUUAUAAGAACAUUGAAUCUAACUCGGAGACCUUCAUUGUGCCUGAUCUUCAGACACAAUAAAGAUGACAAGACUUCAAUUGCCAGAUCAUUCAAGAGAAAUAACUGAAAACGACUUCGCCAAUAUGAUCAAAAGGGCUAGGAAUUCAGAACAGACGAGCUAUGGAGUGAUUGUGAACAGUUCCCAUGAGCUAGAAGCCUAGAACUAGCUUAUUCAGAAAUUUAUCCAAUGUUCUAAAAGGAGCUAGGCGGGCGGCAGGGGGCCUGGGCGAGAUUUUUGAUUUUAAGCCAAUUUUAAUAUUUUAUCUUACAUUUAUCCAAACAAAACAAUAAUAUAAAGCAAAACAAUCUAUAAUAAAGAUAAUAAAGGUCUUUGCUUAAAGUUUAAACACAUAUCUUUAACGUAUUAGUUUUAUUCAUAAACAAGAUUACUAUUAAAUAAUAAAAUUUCAAAUUUCAAUAAUUCAAUUCAAUAUUAAAACUUAAGAAACUAAACAUAAAUUUAAGAAUUAUAUUGAAUUAAACUAAAUAUUACAAAUGUAUCAUCAUUUAUAAUUUGAAGUUAGUACAAGUUCAAAAAAUUACAACAAUAAUAAAAUUAUCCAUUUUAUUAUAGCUUGAUCUUGUUCACUUCUUGUUGUGAUUUGAUAUGCUACAACCUGUAUUACGAAUAUGGUAAAUCAUUAAAAAAAUAAAUAUAUCAAGAUUUGGUAUGGAUAGUUAUUAAAAAAUUUUAAAAAAAAAACCUCUCUACCUAGGCCCAGCCUAAUUUCCUGAAAGAAUUUUUUGGCCUAGGCGAGGCGCCAGGGGGGCCUAGCGCCUAGGCGGGGCCUAGGCAGCUGCCUUUUAGAACACUUAAUUUAUCAGAAGGUCAUAGGAAGACGUGCGUGGCUUAUCGGUCCAGUUUCACUCUGUAACAAAGACAGUGAGGAUAAAUCACAAAGAGGUAACAAGGUCUCAAUUGAUGAAAAUGAGUGUUUAAAUUGGCUCAUCUCCCCAAAAAAAAUUUCUGUUUCCUACAUAUGUUCUGGAAGCAUGUCCAAUUUUUCAGCUGCACAGCUACAUGAGAUAGCAUUGGUCUUGAAGCUUCCAGACAGCAAAUUAUUUGGGUGGUGAGGAAAGAGAAAGAGAACGAUGAAGAACAGGAGAGGUGGUUGCCUGAAGGAUACAAAAAAAGGAUGGAGGACAAGGGUUUAAUAAUAAGAGGGUGGGCGCCCCAAGUUCUAAUCCUUGAUCAUGAAACGCUCCUGCGCCAAAGCAAUUACAAUUUGAAACCAUGUAAAAGCUCAUAUAUGCUGGAUUUCUAUGAUUUUUAAUAUAUUAUCUUGUUGAGAUAUCUCCAAUAGCCUAUAUCGCCUACUUCUUGUAUGAUUGAGGUAACCAUCGACUCAUCUUGAUAAUUAAUUAAUUUUAAUAAAUAAAUAAAUAAUAAUGCUUACCAACCAUUUUCAAACUUAUUUACUCAAAUUAUGUAUCACUUCACCUUUAUGGUCCAUAUCAAUAUUAUAUUUUUUCAGUUUCCCUUUCGGUUUGUUAUUUAGUUUUUUAUAUACACAUGUAUGUAUUUUUUAUUACAUGUAUUUCCAUUUAUUUAUCCUGUUUUAUUUUCUUCUUUUUAUCCUUUUAUUUCUUCUUCUAACCUUUUUCAACCUACCCAGCUCCGAUAAUAGGCGUUGAGUAGUUAAGUAUAUUUGCCCAUACACUUCGUAAAACUCAAAAUGCAGCAAGGAACACAUAAAAUACACCCCGCAAUAAUACGAGCAAUAAUUCAAAAGAGAAACAGGUAGAUAAUAGAUUCAUCCCACUUGCAGUUUUCCUCAUUGACAUACCAAAUAUACAAUACAUAUGUCUGAUAAAUAAUACAUGUGUGUUUGUGCGUGUAGAAAAAGAUAAAUAAACAUACAAAUUAUGCAACUUACAAUAAUUCAAGACAAAUCCACUACAGAUAAUUUGUCAGCAUCCACUCCUGCAAAAUUGCCAUUGAAAACACAGAUUUAUACAGCAAAACUUGGGUCAUAACUGUGCAAAUUGCGAGCAAAAGAACAGAAUUGUAAAACUUGAUUGGGAGAAAAAAACAAAUAUCAUACUUGCUUCAAUAAACAACUAAAACAAUUACAUGAAAUUCAGUGAAACUUUGAAUACAGGAAAGUUUAUUAAAACUAAGAAAAUAAUGGGUUGAUGACCGACACUUGUUGAUAUGAUUUAGAUCCCAAAAUAUUCAGAAAUCAAAUUAAACAAAUAUGGAAACAGGGGUGGUGACUGACCAUAUUUCACAGUAAAAAAAUAAGAAAAAGUGAAAUUUUUUUUUCAUUUCGGAGCAAAUUAAGUGAGAAAUUUACUUCAGAUUACGGCAAUUGGGAAUUUCCACAAAGAUUGGAAAUUUAUUUUCCUCCUAAUCGUCGGUCGGAGGUCUGUAAGAAUCAAGCUGCCAUCACAGAAGAAACAGUCAAUAAAAAAAAAAGGUUCAGCAGUUCCUUUAAUUUCUAGUCAAUCAAGCGUUGAUCUUCAAAAUUGCAGAGCUUCUGGAGCAAUCAAAGCGUUGAUUUUCAAAAAUCCAAGCUUUACUGGCUGAAGAGUUCGAUAUUCCCACCAGCCAAGACAAUUAGGCUCAACUGUUAUGGGUCCCUACUACACGAACCCACAUUCUCAAUAUGGAGUGUCCCGUGGCUCGGACACAGGGGAAUGCUUCAGAUGAUUUAUUAGAUUGACC